rnacentral:rRNA from 1 species
CAGCCGCCACGGUAAUACGUAGGUGGCAAGCGUUGUCCGGAAUUAUUGGGCGUAAAGGGCUCGCAGGCGGCUUCUUAAGUCUGAUGUGAAAGCCCCCGGCUCAACCGGGGAGGGUCAUUGGAAACUGGGAAACUUGAGUGCAGAAGAGGAGAGUGGAAUUCCACGUGUAGUGGUGAAAUGCGUAGAGAUGUGGAGGAACACCAGUGGCGAAGGCGACUCUCUGGUCUGUAACUGACGCUGAGGAGCGAAAGCGUGGGGAGCGAACAGGAUUAGAUACCCGCGUAGUCCCUGUCUCUUAUAC